GACGAACGCUGGCGGCGUGCCUAAUACAUGCAAGUAGAACGCUGAAGGAGGAGCUUGCUUCUCCGGAUGAGUUGCGAACGGGUGAGUAACGCGUAGGUAACCUGCCUGGUAGCGGGGGAUAACUAUUGGAAACGAUAGCUAAUACCGCAUAAGAGUAGAUGUCGCAUGACAUUUGCUUAAAAGGUGCAACUGCACCACUACCAGAUGGACCUGCGUUGUAUUAGCUAGUUGGUGAGGUAACGGCUCACCAAGGCAACGAUGCAUAGCCGACCUGAGAGGGUGAUCGGCCACACUGGGACUGAGACACGGCCCAGACUCCUACGGGAGGCAGCAGUAGGGAAUCUUCGGCAAUGGACGGAAGUCUGACCGAGCAACACCGCGUGAGUGAAGAAGGUUUUCGGAUCGUAAAGCUCUGUUGUAAGAGAAGAACGAGUGUGAGAGUGGAAAGUUCACACUGUGACGGUAUCUUACCAGAAAGGGACGGCUAACUACGUG
rnacentral:rRNA from 1 species